rnacentral:rRNA from 1 species
GAGUCGAACGCUCCCCACGGAGAGUGGCAGACGGGUGAGUAACACGUGGGAAUCUACCUAGUGGUACGGAAUAGCUCAGGGAAACUUGAGGUAAUACCGUAUAAGCCCUUACGGGGAAAGAUUUAUCGCCAUUAGAUGAGCCCGCGUCUGAUUAACUAGUUGGUGAGGUAAUGGCUCACCAAGGCGACGAUCAGUAGCUGGUUUGAGAGAAUGACCAGCCACACUGGGACUGAGACACGGCCCAGACUCCUACGGGAGGCAGCAGUGGGGAAUCUUGGACAAUGGGCGCGAGCCUGAUCCAGCCAUGCCGCGUGAGUGACGAAGGCCUUAGGGUUGUAAAGCUCUUUUGGCGGGGACGAUAAUGACGGUACCCGCAGAAUAAGCCCCGGCUAACUUCGUGCCAGCAGCCGCGGUAAUACGAAGGGGGCUAGCGUUGUUCGGAAUUACUGGGCGUAAAGCGCACGUAGGCGGAUUUGUAAGUCAGGGGUGAAAUCCCGGGGCUCAACCUCGGAACUGCCUUUGAUACUGCGAAUCUCGAGUCCGAUAGAGGUGAGUGGAAUUCCUAGUGUAGAGGUGAAAUUCGUAGAUAUUAUGAAGAACACCAGUGGCGAAGGCGGCUCACUGGAUCGGUACUGACGCUGAUGUGCGAAAGCGUGGGGAGCAAACAGGAUUAUAUACCCUGUGUAGUCCACGCCGUAGACGAUGGAUGCUAGCCGUCGGCAAGCAUGCUAGUCUGUGGCGCAGCUAACGCAUUAAGYAUCCCGCCUGGGGGAGUACGGCCGCACGGUUAGAACUCACAGGAAUUGACGGGGGCCCGCAUAAGCGGUGGAGCAUGUGUGUUUAAAUUCGUAGCAACGCGCAGAACCUUAUCAGCUCUUGACAUCCACUGGACUGUUCUCCAGAGAUGGGGU